AAACAUCCAUAACUUCUGCAACGCCCUUUGCUCUGAGUCUAGAAAGGUUGUCGGCUUGAUCGAAAACAAUGGGAAUGCCUACAAUUGGAACUCCAUGAUAUAUGGCCUCAUAUAUUCCAUUUGUUCCUCCGUGACUUACAAAUAGUUUAAUACUUUUAUGUCCCAGGAGG